GACGAACGCUGGCGGCGUGCUUAACACAUGCAAGUCGAACGGAAAGGCCCUGCUUUUGUGGGGUGCUCGAGUGGCGAACGGGUGAGUAACACGUGAGUAACCUGCCCUUGACUUUGGGAUAACUUCAGGAAACUGGGGCUAAUACCGGAUAGGAGCUCCUGCUGCAUGGUGGGGGUUGGAAAGUUUCGGCGGUUGGGGAUGGACUCGCGGCUUAUCAGCUUGUUGGUGGGGUAGUGGCUUACCAAGGCUUUGACGGGUAGCCGGCCUGAGAGGGUGACCGGCCACAUUGGGACUGAGAUACGGCCCAGACUCCUACGGGAGGCAGCAGUGGGGAAUAUUGCACAAUGGGCGGAAGCCUGAUGCAGCAACGCCGCGUGCGGGAGGACGGCCUUCGGGUUGUAAACCGCUUUCGCCUGUGACGAAGCGUGAGGGACGGUAAUGGGUAAAGAAACACCGGCUAACUACGU
rnacentral:rRNA from 1 species